rnacentral:rRNA from 1 species
UACGGGGGGGGCAAGCGUUGUUCGGAAUUACUGGGCGUAAAGCGUGCGUAGGCGGUCCGCAAAGUCUGAUGUGAAAGCCCCCGGCUCAACUGGGGAGGGUCAUUCGAUACUGAUUGACUUGAAGGCAGGAGAGGGUAGUGGAAUUCCCGGUGUAGUGGUGAAAUGCGUAGAUAUCGGGAGGAACACCAGUGGCGAAGGCGACUACCUGGCCUGUUCUUGACGCUGAGGCGCGAAAGCUAGGGGAGCAAACGGG